CCUACGGGAGGCAGCAGUGGGGAAUCUUGCGCAAUGGGCGAAAGCCUGACGCAGCCAUGCCGCGUGAAUGAUGAAGGUCUUAGGAUUGUAAAAUUCUUUCACCGGGGACGAUAAUGACGGUACCCGGAGAAGAAGCCCCGGCUAACUUCGUGCCAGCAGCCGCGGUAAUACGAAGGGGGCUAGCGUUGCUCGGAAUUACUGGGCGUAAAGGGAGCGUAGGCGGAUAGUUUAGUCAGAGGUGAAAGCCCAGGGCUCAACCUUGGAAUUGCCUUUGAUACUGGCUAUCUUGAGUACGGAAGAGGUAUGUGGAACUCCGAGUGUAGAGGUGAAAUUCGUAGAUAUUCGGAAGAACACCAGUGGCGAAGGCGACGUACUGGUCCGUUACUGACGCUGAGGCUCGAAAGCGUGGGGAGCAAACAGGAUUAGAUACCCUGGUAGUCCACGCUGUAAACGAUGAGUGCUAGUUGUCGGCAUGCAUGCAUGUCGGUGACGCAGCUAACGCAUUAAGCACUCCGCCCGGGGAGUACGGUCGCAAGAUUUAAAACUUAAAGGAAAUUGACGG
rnacentral:rRNA from 1 species